ACCUGCCUUUAAGUCAAAUUGGGUUGGCAUGUGUUAUGCUCAGAUGUAAAUUUUUUCUCAUUAAACCUCUUGGGUCCUGAAUUUGCUUAUUUAUCCAUUUGAUAUAGGACUAUAUCAUAAAACAUAGGUUAGAUUAUUUCAUCCAACAUGGUAGGCAUUUUAAAAAUUGAAAAGUUUCAUUUAAUCCAAUAUAGAUGUCAGUCUAAAUUGAUUUCUCUAUUUUAGUGUUUAGUCUUAUUUAUUUUCAUAUCUUACCAUAUUUGUCUCUCUUUAGUUAAAUUUAUUGAUGACACUUUCUAUUUUUAUUGCUAAUUUCAACAUAUGUUUGACAUUGCUUUACUAUUAGAAAUGUCAAAAUGAGAGAAGCUGAAAAGUCUAUUGUGCCUCAUUUUAAAUUUGGUGGCGGCUAUGACCUAUGAUUUAUCAUUUAUUAAUGUACAACUUUUCCUUUUUUUGGUGACAUCCUCUGUCUUUUAAAUUCUAUAUUGUUCUGCAAGGACUUGAAUACUUUCAAUCGAAGGGUUGGAUUUAGAAAAGUAGUCUGUGCCAAGUCAGUUAGACUUUUUUUAACAUCAAAGGUCAUAUGCAAAGUACUAGAACCAUGCCCAUCUAAAUCUUUCAGCAUGAUACACUUUUUAAUCUUCAGUCACAAGAAUACAUAACAAAAUGAUGUCAAUUCCAAUAAUUAGCUAGGAGAUCUCAUAUACAAGCCAUGUUUGAGGAACUGACUGAUGAGAAGGCCUAGCCUUCCAUUUAUGCAGUCCUGCAUCUAGGUGCUGAUUCUGUUCCAAACCUACACACAAUCUCUGUUGCCCAUAGCCAUUGGAAAGUUCAAUUCAGCUUUUGGAACGUAGGUAUAGAGAAUGUGAAAUUAGGAGUUAAUAUUUGGUCAUCAGAAAAUCUAUUUGAGGCAUUGUAGCCUACACCAUACCUAAAUACAAGUACCUUUAAUGUAUAACAAACUAAAGAGUAAUCUUAUAUAUAUAAGCAAGUGAUUUAGGUCAGCUGAGCUUAAGAAUUCCAAGGAAAAUCUCUUCUUAUGCCGGCCAAGGAGUGCGUGCACGCACACCCAACUAAUUAUUAGAUGUUACUAGGAGUACAAAUAUUUAUGUCAGUUGAGCAUUAGAAUCACAAUUAAAAUCUCUUAUUAUGUAGGCCAAGAAAGAGCGCAAAGGCCUAUGCUUCAGUGAGCAAGUAUUCACAUCCUCCCAUAACUAUUCAAGUUUAGCUUGCAUUAUCAAAGUAAAAUUCUCUAAAAAAAUUGCAACGUGCCCAUGCUGAAUGAGAUGGUAUUUUCCUGAAAAGUAACUCUACUUAUUUUCUUCUUAGACAAACUGAUUUCUAUUAAUGUGCCCAAAUUUUUUCAUCAUUUGUGAGCAGACAGCAUUAUCAGUCAAUAUUUGAUUUGUUUGUCUUUGUGAGUUGGAUUUCCUGAGCCCUGAUUUGUACCUCAGGACCUUCAAUUGGGAAACAGCUCCACUCUCAUGAGGGAAACAGCUCCACCUUCAAUUGGGAAACAGCUCCACUCUCAUGACAUUUGGUGAUUCUCCCAAAUAAUUUCCCGCUGUAUUCUAGCUUCCCCUACAGUUCUGAGUUUACUUGACAGGCAAGUAAAGUUGAUAAGUUUAGUAAAGUUCCAGUCUGUGCCAUGACUAUGUUUUAAAUUGCAUGAAUGAGAAAAUUACUGUUGCAUUCCCUAUUUUGAAUGCUAUCAUUUAUUUUACCUGGAAAAAGUGUGAAAAGGGUAUGUAAAUUGUUAAGUGAAACCCAAAAAUUUAUUACGUCUUCCUACCUUUUUAGGUUCUAUAUUUAUAUUCGUUUUUUUUUGCGCGUGUACUAAUGGAACUUAUAUCCAUAAUUUAAUGUUGUGUUAUGAUAAUUUGUCCAAUCUAAUAAAAAGACAAGGACUCGUGCUUAUGAGCUGCUUGUCAAAAUUGGUCACUGUCUGGAGGACUCAGAAAAUGGAGGUUCAAAGGAGAAGCUGCGUCAGUUUUUUAACAUGGUUCUUGGGUGUCUCGCUGACACCACAUAUGAUGAGUGUAGCAGUAACUUGACUAUUAUGGCUGAUCUACUGAGUUAUCUGAUCUCUGCUUGACAGUGCCCAACUUACUUCUAUCUGUGCAUAUGCUUUUGCAAAGUAAUAACAUGGAAGUUAUCAAAGCAACUUCGGGACUAAUGAAAGUGGUUAUAGCCACUUAUUGGAGUGGAGCUGGAAAAGCAUAUAAAUUCUAAAAUGUAUUGUAGAGGGUGUAUUGCUUAAGUCAGAUGACUCAAAAAUUCCAUUCAAAGCAAAGAUCAGGUUGCUGUUUGAAAUGCUGGUACGAGAAUAUGGUCUAGAGGCUGUUAAAUGUGUGAUGCCCGAGCAACAUAUGAAGCUCCUUACAAACAUAAGAAAGGUAAGCUAUAAUGUGUUACUUUCCUUUAAUUAGCAUUCAGUGCUAACUGAAUUUCAAGUGUAAAUGGCAAUUAUGGUCGUGAUUUUGCAUACAAAUCAAGGAACGUAAAGAAAAGAAGAAAAGUUGUUCAUCUCAAAUGUAGAAGAUGAAAGCAAGUCCUUGCAUUCAAAUGCAUCUACCAGUAGGUAAGUGUCUUUAGGAAGUACCAAAAUAUAAAAACUGACUGGUGUAAUGCAAUGUGUCAAGAUCUACAACAUAUGACUCGUGACAUAAUAGAAAUUUGGCUGAUUCUAUUC